CGCGGGUACGCCUGCUACUAUAUUUACUGUACGGUUUGGAUCGGUUUCUGUCAUUUAAAGUAGUAAAUCGUUGAUCACCUAAAUGUAAACUCUCAUCGAAGAUAGCUGAUAAGGGAGAUCUGUCCCAGCACGUCCGUUCAGCUGUAAUGACUGAUGUGGAUUGUGAUUGAUAAUUAAAUUUUAAAAGUUUUUGUGACUUUUAGCUUUGU
rnacentral:lncRNA from 1 species